rnacentral:rRNA from 1 species
CGGACGGGUGAGUAACACGUGGAUAACCUACCUAUAAGACUGGAUAACUUCGGGAAACCGGAGCUAAUACCGGAUAAUAUAUUGAACCGCAUGGUUCAAUAGUGAAAGACGGUUUUGCUGUCACUUAUAGAUGGAUCCGCGCUGCAUUAGCUAGUUGGUAAGGUAACGGCUUACCAAGGCAACGAUGCGUAGCCGACCUGAGAGGGUGAUCGGCCACACUGGAACUGAGACACGGUCCAGACUCCUACGGGAGGCAGCAGUC